GGGUAUAGCGAAUAUAGCCCAGAUACCGCUGACCGAAUGCUUGAACGCUCGGAGGCCACCGUAAUUGAUAUCCAUCGAGCAUCAUGGUAGUGAGCAAGGGAUGGGUCUUAACCCGGAUCAAGUGAAGAUGCAGGCAUGGGGAUGAAUAGAGCAUUGUUUAGAGGUGAUAAUGGAGUUGCCAAGGUGCCCAGAGUAGAUGAUGGAUAAGCUGGGACAUUAGUGGAGCUUGGAUGGGGCCGACGGAGCCUUGUCCAGUGGUGCUCAACGGAGGAAGUUGGGCGGUGGUGCCUCAGCGGAGGAAGUUGGGCGGUGGUGUCCAGCGGAGGAAGUUGAGCUGUGAUGCUCAGCGGAGUCGUGGCCAGAGGUUGUGAGGUUCUGGGACGUCGAUAGCUAGCGGUGGAGUUCAGCGGUGUACAAUAGCUGGUCAGCGGAGCUUGUGGGUCAAGUGAGUACGAAGCCUUGGUGCUCACUCGGAGCUCUUGGCUGUGGCCCUAGUUGGCGGAGGGUGGUGGAGACCUGGACCGGACUGCAACCCGUUUGAUGGUAGUUCUGCGGUGUACAGUCGGCGGUGCACAGUAUGGCGGUGCUUGCUUGGCAGAGGCUAAGCAAUGAGCCGAGAUGUCUACUGGGUGCCUAGAGCAUACUUUUGGGGUCAGCGGUGUACAGUCCGGCGGUGUAUAGUUAUGCGGAGCGGAGCUCAUUGAUGGAGUGGAGCAUGGUCAGCGGGGGAUGCUGGAGCGUCGGAACUUUGCUAGCGGGAGAAGCGCCGCUGAUGGUGCUUAGCGGAGAUAAUCCGGCGGAGCGGAGCAUUUGGCCGGUGAGUUGGGCGGUGGUUCCGCUUGGUUCCCAGCUGAGGGAGUUGGGCGGUGUAGCCUAACAGUGGUUGCUUGACGGAGAUAGUCCAGCUGUGUUGCCUGGCGGAGGCUGCAGGCGAAAGUGGCUAAGUGGCUGGAGGAGGUUUUGCCGCUGGUGUCUCCUAGCGGUGUUGUAGCUAGCUGACCUGGUGCUCAGCGGAGGUUUUGGAGCUGUUGAGUUCAACGUUGACCAUGCACCCAAGUGUUGACUUGGAGUGGAUUGUUGACUCGGUGCCCAGCGACGUUUUCCAUGGGAGGACCGAAGCUAGGAGGGCGGAGCUGCAGUUGGAGGGUGCCCAGUGGUGCAGCCCAAUCAGCGGUGUAGCAGUGGCGAAGCGGAGGAGUUAAGCGGAGGACCGGUUCGGCGGAACACCAGUUUGGCGGAGCACCGGUUCGACGGAUCACCAGUUCGGCGGGGAUGCAAGUUGGGUGGAGUUGCAGCUUCGAGUGUGGCGGAGCGGAGGUCUGCCUGAGCCAGCGGAGGAUGUGGCUGGAGGAGGGAGCUGCAGCGGAGGAAGGAGACAACG
rnacentral:lncRNA from 1 species